rnacentral:rRNA from 1 species
CCUACGGGAGGCAGCAGUGAGGAAUAUUGGUCAAUGGGCGCGAGCCUGAACCAGCCAAGUCGCGUGAGGGAAGACGGUCCUAUGGAUUGUAAACCUCUUUUGUCGGGGAGCAAAAGACGCCACGCGUGGCGUUCCGAGAGUACCCGAAGAAAAAGCAUCGGCUAACUCCGUGCCAGCAGCCGCGGUAAUACGGAGGAUGCGAGCGUUAUCCGGAUUUAUUGGGGUUAAAGGGUGCGCAGGCGGAAGAUCAAGUCAGCGGUAAAAUGUAGAGGCCCAAACUCUUCGAGCCGUUGAAACUGGUUUUCUUGAGUGAGCGAGAAGGAGGCGGAAAGCGGGGUGUAGGCGGGAAAAGGA